rnacentral:misc_RNA from 1 species
GCAUUGCUAAAGAACCAAGCUCUGUAGGGAUUUUCCCAAUUAGAUUAUUGUUUUGCAAUCUGAUUUUCCUGAGAUGAGAACAGCGGGUAAGGUUGAUCGGAAUUACACCUUCUAUUGUGUUAUUAUUGAGAAAGAAUUCUUGUAAUCGAAACAAAUUGCCGACUUCCUGUGGAAUUUGACCUUUGAAACUGUUGUUUCGAAGGUUCAAGAUUCUUAAAAAACUCAAAUUGCCAAU